rnacentral:rRNA from 1 species
GACGAACGCUGGCGGCGUGCUUAACACAUGCAAGUCGAACGGAAAGGCCCUGCUUUCGUGGGACGCUCGAGUGGAGCACGGGUGAGUAACAUGUGAGUAAUCUGCUCUUGUUUUGGGUUAACCUACGGAAACUGGGGCCAUAAACGGUAAGGGCCAUCUGUUGCAUGGUGGGGGGUGGGAAGUUUCGGCGGCUGGGGAGGGAAUCGCCGCUUCUCCGCUUGUUGGUGGGGUAGUGGCUUACCAAGGCUUUGGCGGGUAGCCGGCCGGAGAGGGUGACCGGCCACGUGGGGACUAAGAUACGGCCCGAACUCCAACGGGGGGCAGCAGUGGGGAAAAUUGCACAAGGGCCUGAGGCCGGAUGCAGCAAGGCCGCGGGGGGAAGAAGGGCCUUCGGUUGGUAACCCGCUUUCGCCUGUGACGAAGCUUUAGUGACGGUAACGGGUAAAGAAGCACCGGCUAACUACGUG